rnacentral:rRNA from 1 species
GAUGAACGCUAGCUACAGGCUUAACACAUGCAAGUCGAGGGGCAGCGGGAUUGAAGCUUGCUUCAAUUGCCGGCGACCGGCGCACGGGUGAGUAACGCGUAUCCAACCUUCCGCUUACUCGGGGAUAGCCUUUCGAAAGAAAGAUUAAUACCCGAUGGUAUCUUAAGCACGCAUGAGAUUAAGAUUAAAGAUUUAUCGGUAAGCGAUGGGGAUGCGUUCCAUUAGGCAGUUGGCGGGGUAACGGCCCACCAAACCUACGAUGGAUAGGGGUUCUGAGAGGAAGGUCCCCCACAUUGGAACUGAGACACGGUCCAAACUCCUACGGGAGGCAGCAGUGAGGAAUAUUGGUCAAUGGGCGAGAGCCUGAACCAGCCAAGUAGCGUGAAGGAUGACGGCCCUACGGGUUGUAAACCUCUUUUGUGCGGGAAUAAAGGAACCUACGUGUAGGUUUUUGCAUGUACCGUAACGAAUAAGCAUCGGCUAACUCCGUGCCAGCAGCCGCGGUAAUACGGAGGAUGCGAGCGUUAUCCGGAUUUAUUGGGUUUAAAGGGAGCGUAGACGGGUUUUUAAGUCAGUUGUGAAAGUUUGGGGCUCAACCUUAAAAUUGCAGUUGAAACUGGAGACCUUGAGUACGGUUGAGGUAGGCGGAAUUCGUGGUGUAGCGGUGAAAUGCUUAGAUAUCACGAAGAACCCCGAUUGCGAAGGCAGCCUGCUAAGCCGCCACUGACGUUGAGGCUCGAAAGUGCGGGUAUCAAACAGG